AUAUGGGAGGCGGGGUAUCAUUAGUGAGCUCAUUGCUCACAGUACCUCUAGUUUUGUUGUAGAUAAGUUCAAUGCCAUCCUUGAAGCUCUUCCAACAAGGCAAAUUGUAGAGACGUUCAUGGUGGACUUUGAGUUUUUUGCCUGGAAUGCCAUUUCUAUGGUAUUCUACAGAAUUCCAUGAUGCUGUUACCAAGGGAUGCAGUUCCAUUGGUGCCAGGCCAUGAAAACAUCUCCAUCUACCUUCAUGAAGAGGGAAGCUAUCACUGCUACUCACAGUAGCUCAUGGCCUUACCCUUAAGCUUCCUACCUGCACGCGACAUCCCUGUCACAUUUCAGACACUGAUGGAAAGUGCCAACACUGCGCCCCUCCAGUACCUUGUCAACUUCACCGACUGUCAGUGGAUGCACCAUGCCAUCUUCCUUCAAUCGUCCAGGACAGUCUACCAGCAGUCCGUCUGGAAUAACAACUAUGUAGAAGGUUGGCAUCUCAGGGUCAAUAGAAAGGCUAGCCAUCGCGGCUGACUUACUCAUGUGACUAGUGGUGAAAAUCAGAUGUGGAUACAAAGAAAUCAUAGGGACGUUUUGGGAAAUAAGACAUUACAAAAUUUAUCAAAAUCUACAGCAUUGCAACUUUUAAAGCUCAUAUACAGCUAUUCCCCAGAAUAAAUUCAAGUCCGGCCGAUUUAGAAUAUCAGUGACAGCUGCUUUUUCAAUAAAAAUGGAACUCGUAAAUUUACACACCUUGCUACGGGUCAUUUGUAAAAUUAUUUAGUUAAAGAGAUUCUGAUUGUA